AUUGAACGCUGGCGGCAUGCCUUACACAUGCAAGUCGAACGGCAGCACGGGAGCAAUCCUGGUGGCGAGUGGCGAACGGGUGAGUAAUAUAUCGGAACGUGCCCAGUCGUGGGGAUAACGUAGCGAAAGCUACGCUAAUACCGCAUACGAUCUAUGGAUGAAAGCGGGGGAUCGCAAGACCUCGCGCGAUUGGAGCGGCCGAUAUCAGAUUAGGUAGUUGGUGAGGUAAAGGCUCACCAAGCCGACGAUCUGUAGCUGGUCUGAGAGGACGACCAGCCACACUGGGACUGAGACACGGCCCAGACUCCUACGGAGGCAGCAGUGGGGAAUUUUGGACAAUGGCGCAAGCCCUGAUCCAGCAAUGCGCGUGCAGGAUGAAGGCCUU
rnacentral:rRNA from 1 species